UACAGAGAGUGCAAGCGUUAUUCGGAUUCACUGGGCGUAAAGGGUGCGCAGGCGGUCGUGUGUGUCAGGUGUGAAAUCCCGGAGCUUAACUCCGGAACUGCGCCUGAAACUACAUGACUAGAGCAUUGGAGAGGGAAGUGGAAUUCAUGGUGUAGCAGUGAAAUGCGUAGAUAUCAUGAGGAACACCAGAGGCGAAGGCGACUUCCUGGACAAUUACUGACGCUCAGGCACGAAAGCAUGGGGAGCAAAAGGG
rnacentral:rRNA from 1 species